UAGUUAUGUUCUUUAAACCUAAAGAAUUUGGCGGUGUUUUAGUCUAUUCAGAGGAAUUUGUCCCGUAAUCGAUAAUCCUCGUUUUAAUCAUACUUGAUUUAUUAGUAUGUAUACCGCCGUUAUAAGUAUAUUUUAUUAGAAUUUUAAUUUACUAAUAUUAUUAUAAUAAUAUAUUUCAGGUCAAGGUGCAGCUUAUAGUUAAGUGGAGAUGAAUUACAUUAUUUAUUUAAUAUAUGGAUUAUUAUAUGAAAUUUAAUAUGAAGGUGGAUUUGUUAGUAAUUUUAUUUAUAGAAUUUUAUUGAUUUUAGCUCUAAAAUAAGUACACAUCGCCCGUCGCUCUA
rnacentral:rRNA from 1 species